rnacentral:rRNA from 1 species
CCUACGGGCGGCAGCAGUGAGGAAUAUUGGUCAAUGGGCGCGAGCCUGAACCAGCCAAGUAGCGUGAAGGAUGACUGCCCUACGGGUUGUAAACUUCUUUUAUAAAGGAAUAAAGUGAGGCACGUGUGCCUUUUUGUAUGUACUUUAUGAAUAAGGAUCGGCUAACUCCGUGCCAGCAGCCGCGGUAAUACGGAGGAUCCGAGCGUUAUCCGGAUUUAUUGGGUUUAAAGGGAGCGUAGAUGGGUUGUUAAGUCAGUUGUGAAAGUUUGCGGCUCAACCGUAAAAUUGCAAUUGAUACUGGCAGCCUUGAGUACAGGUGAGGUAGGCGGAAUUCGUGGUGUAGCGGUGAAAUGCUUAGAUAUCACGAAGAACACCGAUUGCGAAGGCAGAUGACUGAACUGCCACUGACAGUGAGGCGCGAAAGUGUGGGUAUCAAACAGGAUUAGAUACCCCAGUAGUC